UACGUAGGGUGCGAGCGUUAAUCGGAAUUACUGGGCGUAAAGCGUGCGCAGGCGGUUUUGUAAGCCAGAUGUGAAAUCCCCGGGCUUAACCUGGGAAUGGCAUUUGGGACUGCAAGGCUGGAGUGUGGCAGAGGAGACUGGAAUUCCUGGUGUAGCAGUGAAAUGCGUAGAUAUCAGGAGGAAUACCGAUGGCGAAGGCAGGUCUCUGGGCUGACACUGACGCUCAGGUGCGAAAGCUAGGGGAGCGAACAGG
rnacentral:rRNA from 1 species